rnacentral:rRNA from 1 species
CAUUAGGGCGGGGGAAAAGAAACUAACAAGGAUUCCCCUAGUAACGGCGAGUGAAGCGGGAAGAGCUCAAAUUUGAAAUCUGGUAGCCUUCGGCUGCCCGAGUUGUAAUCUAGAGAAGUGUUUUCCGUGCCGGCCCAUGUACAAGUCCCUUGGAACAGGGCGUCAUAGAGGGUGAGAAUCCCGUCCUUGACAUGGACCCCCGGUGCUUUGUGAUACACUUUCAACGAGUCGAGUUGUUUGGGAAUGCAGCUCAAAAUGGGUGGUGAAUUCCAUCUAAAGCUAAAUAUUGGCGAGAGACCGAUAGCGAACAAGUACCGUGAGGGAAAGAUGAAAAGCACUUUGGAAAGAGAGUUAAACAGUACGUGAAAUUGUUGAAAGGGAAACGAUUGAAGUCAGUCAUGCUCUUUGGAUUCAGCCGUUCUGCGGUGUAUUUCCAUUGAGUGGGGUCAACAUCAGUUUUGACCGCUGGAUAAAGGCACUAGGAAGGUAGCACUCUCGGGUGAACUUAUAGCCUAGCGUCAUAUACAGUGGUUGGGACUGAGGAACGCAGCAUGCCUUUAUGGCCGGGAUUCGUCCACGUACAUGCUUAGGAUGUAGACUAAUG